AAACCCAGACUGCUGGCCUCCUGCCCUGUGGCAGUUUAUGGGGAACCCUCUGAACACAAUUUGGAAACAGCUGUUGUAGUUUAAGAAUCAUGGGCCUUGGAUUUAGACCCUUUUCCACUCCCCAGACAUGGGCCAAGGAUGGCUUCAACCAACUGGCUGCUUCAGCCUAGCUAGAGCCCAUGAAGAUCGGUGCACCCAAGAGGACGGAUUCUUAAUCCUACCAGGAUAUAACCUCCCUGCAUCUGGCUCCGUGCUCAGUGGGGAC